rnacentral:rRNA from 1 species
AAACAUGUCUUUUUGAGUUAUUUUAAAAGUCUGACCUGCCCACUGAAAUUUAAAUGGCCGCAGUAUCCUAACUGUGCAAAGGUAGCAUAAUCAUUAGUCUUUUAAUUGAAGGCUGGUAUGAAUGGUUGGACGAGGUAUAAGCUGUUUCAAGUGAAUUUAUUAUAGAAUUUUAUUUUUUAGUUAAAAAGCUAAAAUUUUGUUAAAAGACGAGAAGACCCUAUAAAUCUUUAUUUUUAUUAAAAUUUUAAUUAUAAAGAUAAAUUUUAUUAUAAUUUUAAUAAAAAUUUUAUUGGGGUGAUAUUAAAAUUUAAAUAACUUUUAAUUAUUGAAAACCAUAAAUUUAUGAGUAAUUGAUCCAUUAAUAAUGAUUAAAAAUUUAAGUUACUUUAGGGAUAACAGCGUAAUUUUUUUGGAGAGUUCAUAUCGAUAAAAAAGAUUGCGACCUCGAUGUUGGAUUAAGAAAAAUUUUAGGUGUAGUCGCUUAAAURUUAAGUCUGUUCG